AACGAUGCUCUUGGAGGAUAGGGACAGAGACUGCGCGCCGCGCCACUCACUUUGUUCAGCAUCUGAAAGCCAAAAGCAAAGAGGAAAAUGAUAAUAAAACUAAAUGAUUCAGCUACCGAGCUGUAGCUAAGGGUCAGCCUUAUUUCUCCCGAAGCGACCCAGCAGCUAUGCUUACCUCGGGGUUAAUCUCCAUCGGCUUCAGCUGCAUCUUCGCGGAUGGCACCUGCAGACACAAACCCGAGGAGCCGAAAAAACAGCCGGUGGAGCCGCCCAGGCUGCUGUUAUAAAGCGCCGGCCUCGCUCACUGGGAAAGCCUGAGCAGGGGAGACGGGAGCAGAAACAAGCAGAGGAGGAAGGCCAAGAGGGCUCGAACUCCCCCAUGCACCGCACAGAAUGGUACAAGCCAAGCCCCCAAACCUUGCAGUCUCACUCGCCGAAGUGCUCCCCGGACUGGGCAUGGUAGCACGCACCUGUGAUUCCAGCAGCUGAGAGAGAGGCCGAGGUGAGAAGAUUACCACUGUGAACUGCUAGAGGAGGUCAGAAGAGGGCAUUGGAUCCCCCAGAACUGGAGUUAUACGGUAACCUCGUGGUGGUUGUGAACCACCAUGUGGAUGGAUAUUGAGUUCCAAACACUGGUCCUGUGCAAGAGCAUCCAGUGCUCUUAAGUGCUGAGCCAUCUCUUUAGCUCCAGUCUCUUAAAAAACAAACAAACGAACGAACAGCAAGGGAGCUGGGUAUGACAACACAUACUAUAAUUCUAGUACUCAGGAUGCUGAAACAGGAGGAUUGCCUGACUGGGAGAUAUAAGGAGAAUCUGUUGUCACCCCCACCCCUCCCCAUAAAGGCAGAAUAAAAGAACGUCCUAUAAACAAAUAAACAAACAACCCAAUAAAACAAAACCAAGAUCUCUCCACCUUUUCUUUGCUUUUUCAGACUUUGUAAUAAGGCCCUUUGGAGUGCAGGAUAUUCGGCAGGACAAGCAGAGAGGGAGACCAUCAGUUCUUUCUUUGAUCAAGAAGACUAUGUUCCUUAGCAAACUGGUGUGUAUUAUCUCUUAUGCAAUGAGCCUGGAAAGAGGGCACAGCCACCGAGGAUGGUACAGCAUGGAUGGAUGGUACGCUACAGAGACUCGGGAGCCCAACUGUGAGUGGCUGACUGGCAUGGUAGGUUCAGGGAAGAAUUGGCCUGUGAAGAAAAUGUUCUUGAAAAGUGAACAAGGUGCAGGAGGUAGGAGUGGGUCCUGGGCAAAGCAGGGGGUGCAUCCCAGCCUCAGGGAAUAGCACAGCAGAGGUCUGUUGAUGCAUGCGAGUGCAUGACCUGCUUGCCAAUAGACGAUCAAGAAUGGGCAAAGCAUCAUGGGUGAUGAGUGGGAGAGGGGAUGAGACAUUCCUUUCUCCCUGCUGAGACUUCCAUUGAACCGAUGAGUUCUGAAUAGAAGAUGCCCCCCCACCCCCCCACCAGUGUAGAAUCUGAAGGGAGGCAUAUAUUACCCUAUAUUACUCUGUGUUGGCGGCGAGCUAUCUGACAGCCAACCUUCCCAUACAUUUCAUUGGGCAUACACUAAUGACAGGAAGUUCCUUUUGCUUGUAUGCAAGAGAUGGCUCACACGAUGGAGAAUUUAAUCUUGUUAGUUUGUUAUUUAUGUGUCCUAAAUUUUGUUCAAUAAAAAUGAAACACUCCUAUG
rnacentral:lncRNA from 1 species